rnacentral:other from 1 species
CCUUGCCUGAGGUGUGCGUGAACUAGUAAUGUCCCUGAGCCGAUAUCUAAAACUCUUUGAGUCAUGUUUUUACUGUUGGUGUGCAGGCUCGUUUAUUCGAGAAGCCUAAAAACAGUCAUACAGACUCCCUUGAACCGAAUGGUUCAAGGACUUACUCUAGUCACGGCACUUCGGGUUUUUU